GUGAUUAUCAUAACCACGCCCCCCAAAAAAAAAUGUGCGCAUUGAGCUCUCGUUUAGAGUUCUUCUAACCUCAUGUUGCUGGUACACAUGCGCCGCCUCCUUAAAACGGGUGGGCGCAUAGCGGCCGGCGUCCCUGAUGCUUAAUGCAUUCUUUACCGGCAUGGGAGAGGUGGUCUGACCGAUCCCUAUGUCGGCAGAUCGUUGGACCGUUAAGAUAAGUGGCUGGUGAGCUGGUGGGGACCCAGAAGGUGGAGCGGAAUAACGCACGUAUUGGGGGGACCUGGCGUGGGCUGCUCGUACAAGAACAGAGGAAGUGGACGCCGGACAGAACCUCCGCGCUGACCAGGCACCCGCUGG